AAUAAUUCUAAAAUAAGUAGUAAAUUAAGGUACUAAUGUAAGCCUUGUAUGUGAAAUAUCAUUAUCAUUAGUUACUUGAAACUAUGCGACUUAGCUUAUUACAUUUUUAACAAAUGAGCAAAUCGUUGUAAUUGGGGUUUGUAGUGCGCGCGCUGUAUUGGCGGUUGAUACUUCGAGAAUCUCAAUCGUUGCGAUACGUGCAUAUGUUCAGUUCGAGAAUAAGUCGCGACGACGAAGUUUGGGUUCGAGAAGCUGCUUCGUAAUUUUCGCGAUUUCGUCUCGACGAAGGUGAGUUUCGCGCGCGAAUCACUACUGAGAGUGUCGAAAAUAAGUUUCGUGCGUUUGUCGUAACAAAAUAUCGUUAAAUAGCCGUCGGAAAGUAACACUCGCAGAACAGUGCGUCGGGAGUGCCGAAUGUAAUAUCGCACAUUUGCCAUAUAAUGGCAGUUGGAAGUUCAAAUGGCUGUAUUUUACGCCUUCGAACCGCCUCGAAGUAGAGCCUCGUGUACGAAAUAUCAUCGGGAGUGCCGAAAGUGAGCUUCGUGCGUUUGUCGUGGCGAAAUAUCAUCAAAUAGCCGCCGAAAGCGAACACCUCGCGAAAUAAGUAGUUGAAAGAGCCGACAUAAUGGCGUGCAUUCGUUGUCUUAUGUUAUUAAUAAUAUGGAGUUCUUCCGAGAUAUAUUGUGGCGUCUGAAUAUUCGUCAUGUGAAAUACAAUGUCACGCUCUCGAUGUGCCGAAGGCAAAUUUGAUCUGACGGAGAUUGCGGUUACACCAUGGAGGUAGUUGCAGUUCCGGUGGGCGCUGAUGCCGUACCGGAGGAUCCGGUUCGGGCCAGGCAGGGUCGGUUCGAAGAUUCGAUAGUAGCGGAACGCAGCCGAUCUUGACUUCGAGACACUUCGGUGAGCGAACAUCAAAAUAAAGGUGGGGGGGGGGGGAGUUUGUAAGGGACAGGAAUUCAUAGAAUUUCGUUGCAAUUGUGUGAUUUGCUUACAGUUUUUUUGCAUGUUGGAUUUUUAUAUGUAUGCGUUGUGUAUACAUAGCUUUAAAAGAAAUACACUGCUCGAAACACAAUUAAGGGGUCGUUCCUUCGAGUGUUUACAUUAUCUUUUAUGUUUGAAAUAUCGA